GUGGAUGUAGUUCAACGGUAGAGCCCUGGAAUGUGGAUCCAGUCGUUGCGGGUUCGAAUCCCGUCAUCCACC
rnacentral:tRNA from 1 species